AGCUGGCCUGAAGUUAGUGAGUUAACUCGAUUGUUCACAGUGAGUUGUAGGUCAAACUCCUUCUUCUACUGUUUUCCCCUUCUCAUUAAUACACUUGACUAGUUUUUU
rnacentral:Y_RNA from 1 species